rnacentral:rRNA from 1 species
AUACGGAGGAUCCGAGCGUUAUCCGGAUUUACUGGGUGUAAAGGGAGCGUAGACGGAAGGCCAAGUCUGAUGUGAAAGCCCGCGGCUCAACUGCGGGACUGCAUUGGAAACUGGUCAUCUGGAGUGCAGGAGGGGUAAGCGGAAUUCCUAGUGUAGCGGUGAAAUGCGUAGAUAUUAGGAGGAACACCGGUGGCGAAGGCGGCUUACUGGACUGUAACUGACGUUGAGGCUCGAAAGCGUGGGGAGCAAACAGGAUUAGAUACCCUGGUAGUCCACGCUGUAAACUAUGAUAACUAUCUUUUAGCGAUACACAGUUAGAGGGUACGAGAAAUCAUUAAGUUAUCCACCUGGGGAUUACGUUCGCGAGAAUGAAACUCAAAUGAAUUGACGGGG